CUUGGUGCAAGAGAGGACACGAUGCAGGAGCAGCCAGCCAGGAGGGCAGAUAAUUCAUCUUUGUCUGCUCUAAAGUACACAUCACCUGUACCCCACUCAGGAACAGUAAACACUUACUCAUUGUAAUGAAGAGGACUGCCUCUGGCAGAUUAAUUGCUCUGACUCCCCUCCUCUUUUGUGUUACAUAACUUUUCAUGAAGAUAUUCUUGUUCUUGGCUGCUGAACUUUUGUGAAGUCCUCCCAGCAGAGACAACCCAAGUUACCUACGGUCAUAUCACCAACCUUGAGUGAGCCUGGCACCCAUGACAGCAGAAACACUGCAUGCCCAUACCAGCCCCGAGCUUACUUCCAUGCGACACCAGGACAAGCGUGAAUCGCAGCUGUGUAGUAGGCCGAAAUGCAUCAUCAGCUUUUCAUAGCACUGUGAGAGAACUUGCUUAUUUCUGGACACUUGGCAGAGAAUUCUGGGAAGGCCAUGGAGGACCUCAGGUGGUCCAUGGCAGUAGCCUGCAAACACUCUACAAAGCACUGUAGUAUGCCCACUUGACCAUCUAAGCCAACCGAUCCCAGCUACAGAAGGGUUUUGUGUGCAGAUGGCAGCUAAAGUAGGGCAACACCUGUGCUCCAGCUCAAGUUAAUAUUGCAAAGAGAAAUGCUUUUGAAUUAAUAGCUAAAGGAAGCUUGAGAAGCCAUAUGGUCAAAUGAUGACAAAGGAACUGCAUGGUGGCAUGGGGAUUAAUUAUCACCAGCCCCAAAUGGGACGUGCUUCGUUGAGUUACAGAUGGCAGUGUCCAUGAAGCAUGACACCCUUGCAGGCAUCUGACUUACUGCGAGGCAGGAAGCUUGAGGACCUUGGGGGAUAAUAUGACCCUCAAUAUUAAUUGACCUCUAAUG